rnacentral:misc_RNA from 1 species
AAGUCGUAACAAGGUUUCCGUAGGUGAACCUGCGGAAGGAUCAUUAUUGAAUUAAUGUAGAGUUGGUUGUAGCUGGCAUUUCCUUUAAUUUGGGGAUUGCAUGUGCACACCUUCUCUUUCAUCCACACACCCCUGUGCACUUGUGAGACAGAUUGCUUUUUGGAGGGGGAACUUUAUUGGACCCUUUCCUUUUGGCUCUCUGUCUACUUAAUUAAUAUAAACUCAAUUUAUUUUAAAAUGAAUGUAAUGGAUGUAACACAUCUAAUACUAAGUUUCAACAACGGAUCUCUUGGCUCUC